rnacentral:tRNA from 1 species
GCACCCAUAGCUCAGUUGGUAGAGCGCCGAGCUUAUACCUCGGUGGCCCUUGGUUCGAGUCCAAGUGGGUGCACUA